rnacentral:lncRNA from 1 species
CGUCUCACACCUUUGCAGCUAUUUACAAUACCGAUUUGUAUUAAUUGUAAUGGUAGACAAUUAUGAAUGGAAAGUCGAUUGGUAAUGAUUAAAAUUUUUACAAACAAAAAUUUCGUUGGUAAAAAGUUUACUCUUUACGAGUUUCCAAAUACGUUGGUAAAGGGAGUAUAUAUACAUUCAAACAUUAAGGAAAUAUGAAAUUUAUCUUUAUUUUUUUCGAUUAUCCCACUUGAAACCAUCACCACCCAAAUAGUCUCAUCGCCAAGUUCUCAUCCAGACAAAACCAUUUCCUUUGAUAUCUAGCCGCCAACGCUCAUCCAUGCCAAAACUCGUGCAAUUUUGGAAGGAUUUUCUUCCCAAUCAUAUUCGAAUUCCAAUAAAAACAUGUACCUAAAUCCUCUAACAAUUAUCCUUUUUAUUUCCCUCUUUCUUCCAUUCUACUUCAAGUCUUCUAUUCAUUUACUUCAAUUUUGAACUCGUCAAAUCCUUCCUAUUGUGUGUUGUCACACAUGUCCUACCCACCUGGGCCAAUGGCCCACUCAUCCUGAUCCACGUGGCAUUCCUGCCGAGGUGGCACACAUUGCCGAGGUGGGUUAUAUCCGAAGUGCUUCAAGCCGAGGCUCCUCGAUCCGAUGUACGCGAAUCUACCGAAGUCCAACUACCGAGGCCCAUGACCCCGAGGCAUGGAACCUGUUGGAUGUAGCCGAGGUCCUCAAGUGGAAGUAUUUGUCAAAUGGUCGAAGCCUUGAAGUUGAUGCACGAGCCUCUUAACCACAAAGAGCUUCCUCCACUAUCACUUCUCCCAAGAGAUCGCCUGCUCAGAGAUCUUAUUCGAAUGACUGAUGGAACGUUUGUCACAAGCAUAAAGGUCAAGUCUUGUCACUAGUAUAAAGGACCUGUGCAAGCAAUAAAUGCGCCGUAAGCUAGCAAGUCAAGUCCCAUACCUAAGAACAGACGUUUGAACUAAAGAGAUGAGGCCACGUGCCACUUUAUCCAAGGGCUCCCAUUUCAUAUGUAUCACUAUAAAUACUCCCAUUGUGUAAUGUCAAAGGCUAAUGCAAGAAUCAAUACUAAAGACUAUAUUUUACUCAACUCUCUCUCAUUUACUUGUAAUACACAAAUCGAGUUUAUACACUUUUACAUAUACAUCUACGAGCACCGGUUGGUAAUUAUUGUACAAUCGGAUUACGAA